GACACUGCUGCAGUGGGGAUGAAGUUUCCAGCACGUACCUUUGGAGGAAUUAUUCAACCAUGACCUUUGCUUCUCAUUCAUGGAGGAAGAGUAGUGAAGAAUCCAAGUGGCAGACUUGGGAGCUCUAGCCCAUCUUUUUCCCGUCCUCUUAUUUUUGGGAGUCGGCCUGCCUGCUUAGCACUAAAUCACAUCACUAUGGGCACCACUGAGGGUGGUAUUUGAGUCACCAAUGCAACACUCCUGUAUCCAUCUGCAUUUGUCGAUGAGGCAUUCAUGAUGACUUGUGGCCCAGGGAAGCCAAAAGAUUGGACGCUCUUGGAUUAGAGCAAGGAACACCCAUAUGCCUGCCAUCUACAUUCAGCAACUGCAAGUAUUUUGCUAUUAAACAAAAUUAAACAAGCAAAUGACACUGAAGAAGUAAGCUUACUCAUCCGUGGUGGAUCCCCUGUGGGCAGAGUGCCAUGGAAACCUCUUACAGCCAAGUGUAUGAGGAAUAAAUCCUGGUCACGAGGAUUAGACCCUUGAUCUCACCUGCGGAGAAGUGGGUGCUUCCCCACCCAUGGUGCUGAGCUGUCAGAAUGGGGCUGGAGUCAAGGUUCUGUUGAGUUCUGAGUAAGUCCCCAAGGAAGAGAACACCAGCUCCCAGAGCACCAGUGUGGUCCCAAACUGGUUCUGUACUCUGAAACUCAUUCCGCCUCUUCAGCCCACAUCUUCAUCUAAGAGAAGCUGAGAGUGGCAAAACCAAAUAAAAUGCAAAGAGAGGAUUUCUUCUAAGAG